rnacentral:sRNA from 1 species
AAUUAUGGAGUACCCUGAGUUGUCAAAGCCUCAAUCCCUAUUCUCCUUCACCUAUUCCUCAAAUACCAUUUACAAUAAUCCUGCUAUUUGAGUUUCUGUUUUAGAGAAAGAACCAUAAACUACUCAACCAGUUCUAAUUGGAUGCUCCCUGCUGAGGGAAUUACAUUUUCCUUUUCCAUCUGCAGAACUGUUGGGAAUCAAAGAGCUUUCCAAACCUGCCUACGGGUAUGCCAUGGUGUGUCCCCCAGGGGAGGUUCCAGUGUUCUGGCCUUCUCCGCUGACCAGUCUCGGAGCUGUCAGCAGCUGUGAGACCCCACUGGCUUUUGCCAGCAUCCCAGGCUGCACAGUUAUGACUGACCUGAAGGAUGCAAAGGCUCCACCUGGUUGUCU